rnacentral:rRNA from 1 species
AGGAGGCAAUCUCUAAACCUUACCACAUUAUGAUUGAGGGCUGAAACUCCCCUCAUGAAUAUGGAAUCCCUAUAACCGCGUGUCACUAUCGCGCGGUGAAUACUCCCUGCUCCUUGCACACACCGCCCGUAAUCAC